rnacentral:misc_RNA from 1 species
GGCGUUUAAGGCGCGGUAAUCACCACACGGGCGCCAGGAUGUAUCUUUCUUGGGAGCCAUGUGCAUUGGUGAAGACCAAGGGCUCUUAGAUGGUCGUGCCGUACCUGCGGACAUCAUUUCAGCGAACUCUUUCUGUGCGGCCUUUAGUUUCUGGGGUGCGAGGCGACGAGGGCGGGCAGCGACAGGAGGGCCAUCGGUUGUUAUGAUGCGAUGCACAGUGUCGUGUUUCACCUCGCGCGGCACUCCAGGUGGACGAGUAAUAUCGGGGAAAUCCAGUAAGAUUUUUAAGUAAAUCGAGUCACUAUAGUUGUCUAUAACUGCUCUGACACUUGCUUGAUCAAUCGUAGCAACACUGCCACGGCUUGACAAUCCAGUCUUGGCAUCAACUAAACGCCUGUUGGUGCGUCAGGGAGCAGGUUGUAGUGCGCAAGGAAAUCAGACCCAAUUAUUGCAGUGCCAACUUCAGCGAUGACAAAAGACCACUUAAAGUCGCGGCGCAAUCCCAGAUUUAAUGAUAAAUUUAAAAGACCAUAUGUUUUUAUGGUGCUACCAUUGGCUGCCUUAAGUUCAUAAUCUGCAACAUUAAGUUUUCCUCGGAUAGCAGAUUUUGGGUAACAACAUAUAUCUGAGCCGGUAUCUACAAGGAAUCGACGAUCACGUCGGGGUCACCAGUUUUGGCGGAUGAAAUUGGAAUAGCGAUAUAUGAGCAACUAGUCUACGGAAGUAAAACUCCAGAAGCUUCGGAAGUAAAAUCUUUAUUUCUGUUAUUGACAGCCGUAUAGGCGGGCAACUGUGUUGCCGCUAUUUUUAAUGGGUGCGU